rnacentral:piRNA from 1 species
CUGCCUUUUGUAAUCACAAACACCC